rnacentral:rRNA from 1 species
CAGCAGCCACGGUAACACAGAGGGUGCAAGCGUUAAUCGGAAUUACUGGGCGUAAAGCGCGCGUAGGUGGUUUGUUAAGUUGGAUGUGAAAUCCCCGGGCUCAACCUGGGAACUGCAUCCAAAACUGGCAAGCUAGAGUAUGGUAGAGGGUGGUGGAAUUUCCUGUGUAGCGGUGAAAUGCGUAGAUAUAGGAAGGAACACCAGUGGCGAAGGCGAACACCUGGACUGAUACUGACACUGAGGUGCGAAAGCGUGGGGAGCAAACAGGAUUAGAUACCCCCGUAGUCCCUGUCUCUUAUAU